rnacentral:tRNA from 1 species
GUGGGUGUAGCUGAGUGGUAGAGCGCAUGCUUGGCAUGCACGAGGUCCUGGGUUCAAUCCCCAGUACUUCUG